AGCCUGUGUUGAACCACACAGUGGUUUCCCAAAAUGAGUGUUUUGGGAAGAACAUUCUCGCUGGUUCUGUGUCUAAAACCAGGUCUCUCCAGAGCAUGGUGCACAGCAGGGCCCAAACGUGGCUCCCCCAUCUUGUGCUGGGGCAGUGCUGUGGCUCCAGGCGCAGCCAGCUGGGUGCUUCGGAGCUGACUCCGAGGUGCAGGGGUGCUCCCAUGCCUGGAGCAGUCCCUGUGUCUGGGGACAUGGGGCUUUGUUCCUCCUCCUAACUUCUUACACAAAAGGUAAAAGAUGGGGGAUACAUGGCUGUCAAAGUCAGGGCUGGAAAUCUCCUGUUUCUUAUGUCGUAGAAUUGAAGUCAGGCACAGCUUGUGAGAUUAAUGCUAAGAUUACAGGGAGCUUGGAAUCGGUCCUAACACACCACAAAAAGCAAAGAAACCCUGCAGGUCAACAUGCUGACUGUUCACAGGGCUGUUCAGCCUCUCCACCACUGAGUUUUUGAAGCUCUGUCAUAUAAAGCGUGGGGUUAAAUGAGCUCCACUGUGGCCAUCCUCCAGAACACCUGGGGUGCUUCUCAGAGCCUGAUCAAUAGCUGGGGUGGAGGUAAGCUGCUUCUGCUCUGCCCCCUCUUAAUGGAUUUUUUCUGUUCCCAAGAUGUUUAUUUUCCAUUCCUUUGGCUUUACAUCCAAAGUGAUUCUAAGCCUGUUUUUUCAGGAUGCCUCUUUUGAAAACUGCUCACUCGAGCCGUUGUACACAGCAGCUCCUAUUUCAAUCCACUGGAUGUAUGAUAAUGAAGCUGGUAUCCUCUUUUUCCAACCAACCAGCUGCUGGAAAUUAUGCCAAAAUCAAACCAAAGUCUGAAGUGGGUUCUGCUACCCUCACUUCUGUGUGUCAUUGUGACCCCAAAGUUGCAGCAAUUGCUCUUUCUGGUAAUGAGUAACGUGAUUAGGACGUUUCUGGAUGUUUCCAUUCCCUCCUGCUGAAUUUUGGGACUUUUUUUUAUGCUUGUGCUGUACGAUAUAUAUGUACAGAAGCCAUAAUAUUUCAGCUUUGGAAAUAUCAUAGUAUGGCUCUGGUUUCUGCUGUGAUGACAGACAUUAAAGCCCACUGAAAUCAGCGUGGCUCUGGAUGGUUACCAUGGUUCUUCAGCUAGGCUCAGAUGGAAGGAUCUGCUUCUGUGUUAACAUUUUAGAAGAAACAAAGGGAACUGGAUUUUGUAUUCUAUAAAGAAUCAACAGUGUUCUCAUGUUCCUGUCCUGUUCCCCAUUGUCCUAAAAUGCAAAGAAGGCUGUCUCCUGAAAAUGUCACGUGUCAGCAUGUAUUUUAGUAUGUAUAUAAAUAUAUUCCACUGCUGUGAAUGCUGUUUUAGCACCACUGGGUAGGUUGUAGAGAUGAGUUCCUGUAGAUUUAAACAUUAUGUCAAUCACACCUCCUCUAAGCAGAGUUAAGAGACAGACAGCUUUCAUCAAAGGCCAGAAGAGCAUCUCCCUGUACCAGUAUUGCCAAUAAGAUUUAGAUCAACUCCACUGCAUUGAAAUACAGAGGAUUUGUUACCAUGGGGUCUCCAAAAUUGCUAGUACCUGUUUGCUAGCCACAGUUAGCUGCAACUGAUAGGCAUUUUACACAAUUUCCUUAGGUUUUAGACAAUACUUUAAAUGAAAGGGUAGUAGAAAACAACACUUAGAAAGAGGAGGAGAGGGAGUGGGUAGUUACAGUACCGAACUACAGAAGAACUUUAUUUCACAAUAACCGUGCUGCUGUGUGUGGAUAAAUCACUGAUUGUUCUCUUAUCCCUGUACUGCUAUGAAGAAUUUACCAAAAAAAAAAAAAAAAAAUGCCACCAAACCAAACCAGAAAAACAAGGAAGCAGCAGAACAUGAAUUCAAGAGCAGAAUGGGAUUGCACAAGGAGAUUCUGCACUGAACUGAAACAUUCAUGUUUUGGACCAUCAAGAACGAAUGAAGUACAAUACAGUUCUGUUC